CCCCGCGUGGCGUAGCGGAUAACGCUGCUGUCUAAGAAUCUGUGGACGCGGGUUCAAUUCCGCGGGGG